UAGGUGCAUCAGUAUUUCAUUUCCUUGAACGAAAAAUCAAGUGUGCUGAUGUUCCCAAUGGUACUCAGAAAACUUAGGUUCGUGAAGGUUCCUUGCUCCUUGGCUUCAGAUAGUCAAAUUUGGGGGCAGAAAAUAAUUUUUCCUCUAGGUCACAAUGGCAAGGAUAGUGGUGGGGUAUGUGUGUGCAUGGGAGGUGAGAAGAGAUUGCCUCUAUAGUUUGGGGCAUGACAAGGAGCCUCCUUUAAGGAUCCUGUAAGCAUACAGAAACUAAUUAUUUCUCUGCCAGUACUGGCAGUGCCCUCACCUCCCAUUUUUAGUCCAUAACAUUCUGCAGGGUGUUUCAGGCAUUGUGCCUUAUAGCUGUAUGUAAAGACUAUAGUGUUGGGGAUUUUGGGGAUUCCUGGAAUAAAUGUUUGCCUGAAAAUACAUAUGGGACUGGACUUGAUGGUUCAGGAGGCUCCUUUCAGUCCGAUUUUUCUACACUCCUAAUUCUUUUCACUCCCCAUCAACCUCUUUCCUGAUUCUGGAUGGAAGCUGGGCCAACAGUAUGCCUUUUGGUUCAUUCAGUCAGACCCUUUGCAUUUUGCAGAAUGACUCAAUCAUUUCCUUUAGCCUUACUGAUUCAUAGAUUGUGAAGAUUGGAGAGCACAGAAACCAUUUUGAUCACGUCUUACUUUCUGCAUGAUACCGGCUGCACAACCCUCACCUGGUAACUUGUGAAUCCCAACACCCUGUGGAUGAACAAAAGCAUUUCAUCUUGCAAGACUGUUCUCCAUCUAUCUAAACUGCAGCAACUGGGAAGAUUUUUAAUAUAACCAGAGUGAGAAAGGAGAAAAAGCUGCUCCGUCCCAGCAGCUAGAACAAGAUAAAACUGGACAGAGCUUGACCUCCAGUUGGAGUCUGAAACCAAAUGAUGGACCCUACUGAAGUUCCAGGUGCAGCCCCAAUGAGAAAUCACGGUAUGCGUCAAGAAGGCCAGGCACCUUUAAUCCCCAGCAAAGUAGAUAACACUCAAUUCUAAAUUAUUUCAUAAAACACACUAACAAAAUGCAAAAGAAAGGAUGAUCUUGUGAAUAAUCAGGGCCUUCUGUCAAUAUUCCUAUACCAUCCUGGGCAAGUCAGUUUGCUUCCCUGCAUAUUAGGUUUCCUGUUUAUAGAAUGAAGAUGAUAAUAUUCGUCUACCUCACAGGAACACUGCCAGGAUAAAUUAUUCACGUAUGUGCAAUAUUCAGUUCAAUGAUGAUAAACACAAUAGGGAAUAAAGCCUAUAAAUAAUAAAAAGUACCCGUUGUAGUAA